rnacentral:rRNA from 1 species
UACGGAGGGAGCUAGCGUUAUUCGGAAUUACUGGGCGUAAAGCGCACGUAGGCGGCUUUGUAAGUUAGAGGUGAAAGCCUGGAGCUCAACUCCAGAAUUGCCUUUAAGACUGCAUCGCUUGAAUCCAGGAGAGGUGAGUGGAAUUCCGAGUGUAGAGGUGAAAUUCGUAGAUAUUCGGAAGAAACACCAGUGGCGAAGGCGGCUCACUGGAGCUGGUAUUGACGCUGAGGUGGCGAAAGCGUGGGGAGCAAACAGG